GAAAGACCAGAAACCAACACCAGAGAACUCCAACAGGCUGUGAAAGGGAAGUAAGUCCAGAAGGAGCCAUGCCACAAGGGCCUCUGGCAGCCCCUUGUCACCAUGCAGCAUCUGAGGCAACCUCUUUCUCAGCCUCUUCCCCCAUCACACAGGCAGCAACUCCACCACUGUGCCUGCCACCUGGCCCGCCGCUUCUUUGAGUGCCUCAGCCAUUGGUAAGUCCCAGCAACAGAGGGCUUGUCUAGGUGGCCCCAACUCAAUGAAUGGCGAGUGUGCUUUUAAUUAUUUGGGAUUACGUGGGCCUGACUGCGCAUUGUUCAGACUGCAUCUCAACGGGUGGUUGCAAGAACCGGCGGCAUGGAAACUAGCUGUGCAAAAAGAGGCAAAGCUAAGCCUCAGAAUGUGGAGGGAGUUCUUGCCUGGGAUUUUCAGUACAGCCUAGAGCCGGGCUUUUAUUUCAAAAACAUGUGGAUUCUGCUGAAAUCUAGUGAAGAAGGAAUUCCGUGUACACAGCCGGUAUUCUACUCAGGAGGCGGGGACUCAGGUCAGAGACGCUUCUUCUUGCAGGAGAUGGGAAUUGGCCCAGAGACCACAGCUGGGCAUGUGCAGAGAGUAGGAGACUGAAGAGCGGCUUUCCAAUGUGGCUGGUGUGGCUCUUGCGGCUUCUUAACCACUUUGCUCUCGGAUCCUUCCAAUACCUGUGGCAACAGAAAAGAUUAGCAAAUCUGCCCACCUUGACCAGCUGAUGUCAUCAACUGGGAGAGUUUGGGGAAACAGCUUUGAGAACGUGCUGUGGGAAACGGCAGGAAGGGAGAUCUGGGAUUGAGUCAGACAAGAGUCUGUGCUGAGAGACAGGAGACAAGCAGGACUCAUGGAGGGAUCUGGUCACUGCAAUCAUGGACCCAUCAAGUCAGAGGCCUCUGAGGAACUACGGCACCCCUCCUCCAACAAAGUUAUACAGGGUAUACAUUCUAUGCAGAAGGAUGCAGACCCCAGGAUGGCUCUUGGGAUGUGACAAAGGGCCACCUUUUGUUGCCCUCCAGAGAUAAAGGGGCCCUUGUAUGACUCAGCCCUUGGUAUUUUUAGGCUGACUCCAAUGGGGGUGGGGGUGUAGAAACCACAGUUUCUAUAAGCUGUGCUAAUUACAAGCACAAGGUGGGGCUAAGAUGGAGUCACAGGACCACAUCGACCAGCCCUCCUCCAUUUUAAUGACAGCCAGUCUGGGAUCUAAAGGUGGCUGUCCCUCCUGCUCUCCUUCACUCCCUGUCAUCUUCAGCACAGCUUUGUAAACUGCUGGUCACAACCCCAAAGGAGGGCACAAAAGAAUCUGGAAACAAUCUGAAGGGUUCUGAAUACAUAAAAAUUAAUUCAAAGUCGUUCUGGUCAGUGUCGGUUGGUGUUGCAUUCAGGGACGGCACAGCAUCCCUGGCUCAGAACAUAGAAUCCUGGCAUUUUGCACUGUACAUGGUCUCAUGCCACACAACAGCAGCAAACACUUCCUCAAACACCUCAGUUCAAGACUAUGGUGAAAACUGUAUAGAUUCCAAUGAGUUUUUUAAAGUAGUUACUUACUGGUUUUGUGUGUGUGUGAAUGUGUAUACACUUGAGGUCAGAGAACAAUCUUAGCAAGUCAGUUGUCUCCCUCCUCCACAUGGGACCCAGGGGAAAAGCCCAAGUCCCCAGGCAUGGAGGCUUUUGCAGGCUGAGCCCUCUCCCUACCGAAACUGCAAUGUUUAUCACUAGCAAUGUGCAACGCUUUCUGUUCUUACAGAAACGUGAUGGCUUCGUUAUGGAAAAACAAAGAUUUGCCGUAUUUCCUGUCCCUCACUGUGCGUACCAAUUUAGUGUGUCUGUGGAUUGUAAUGUGUUAGAAUGUUUGAUCCAAAAGUUGCUGUUUGAAUUGCUGACUUGAGUUUCAGCUUUUUUUUUAGAUUUUUAAAUGAAUUUUGGCAUGGGAUAAGGAUGGAAUUGCCAACAAUCUUCUAAAUGGCUGUAAACACACUCCUGCUUUAAAAAAAAACUAUAAUGGUAUAUGAAACAGCACUUCUCAGCCUUGAUGGUUAUAAAAUCAAAAUGUCAAUCAACUCUGCAAAACACAGAAGAUAGUGUGUCUUAUCAACUAUUCAGCCACGAUUUAAUCUUUACACAAAAAUACAAGUAUAUUCAUCUCAUUCACAUGCUUUUUGCCUUUAAUACAUGGUAAAAUUACAUUAAAGCAAAGAAAUGUUUGAGAAUAAAUUUAUUUAUGACAUAAUCAGUAAAUAUUUUAUCUUUCUACUUAUGAGAUAGAGUGGGAGAAGAGUGGACAGGAGUGGAAAUGUAAGAAACUUCCCCUAUAGCAUGGCUGCUUUCCUCUACAACAUGGCUACUCUCAACCAAGCCCCACUAGCCACAGAGAGGGCAAUUGGAAAGUGAUAGGUCCCCCCAUAAACUCCUGUAUCUGAACACUUGGUCCCACUUGAUGUCACGUUUAGGGAGAUUCUGGAGCCUUCCAAUGUGGAACCAUGUUGAAGGAAAUCUGAUCACUGGCUGUGGGCUGUGAAGGCUUUAAGAGCUUCUAGCCUUGUUACAUCUCCAGUUUACUGUAUUUUCUGCCUGUGGUUAGACAUGUGAUCUCUUAGUUCCCACUCUGACCACGCCUUGCCAUACUUUCUGUCCACUAUGUACUCCUCUUCUGGAACCGUAAGCCAAAAUAAAGUCUUCCUU